UUCUUACUACCUGAUUGCAAUGCUUCCCAUUUUUGUUUAUAGCCCUCGUUUUUUUUAUAUCUUCUAAUGUUCUAGAUUAAAAAAAGUCUGAGGCAACUUCCGAAGACAUAUAAAAUAUAACAUGGCAUAUAGGCAGAGAUGAAGAAAAAAUAAGGAUGAGAAUGGAACUUGGAUCUAGAAAUGAAGGGAAUGUAUAUACUUGUGUUCAACUUGAAGGUCUGUGGCAGGCAACAAGAAAAUGGAAACCUGGUCAUUCUCGCAAGUGGAGAGAGACCCUGGAGCCCACCAGGCAGGAAGAGGUGAGCUGUUGAAGAAGCAGGCACCCAGAAAGAAAGAAGUCAUCACUGUCAGAGUAAGUGUAAACCAGGC
rnacentral:lncRNA from 1 species